rnacentral:rRNA from 1 species
AGAGUUUGAUCAUGGCUCAGGACGAACGCUGGCGGUAUGCUUAAGACAUGCAAGUCGCACGGGCCCGCAAGGGUCAGUGGCGGACGGGUGAGUAACACGUGGAUAACCUGCCUGACUCCCCGGGAUAACAGGCCGAAAGGCCUGCUAAUACCGGGUAAGCUCACGGGGCCGCAUGGUCCUGGGAGAAAAGGCCCUGCAAGGGGUUGGGGUCAGAGGGGUCCGCGGUCCAUUAGCUAGUUGGAGGGGUAACGGCCCACCAAGGCGACGAUGGAUAGCCGGCCUGAGAGGGCGACCGGCCACACUGGGACUGAGACACGGCCCAGACUCCUACGGGAGGCAGCAGUCGGGAAUUUUGGGCAAUGGCCGAAAGGGCUGACCCAGCAAUACCGCGUGAGUGAAGAAGGCCUUCGGGUUGUAAAGCUCUGUUGCUCGUGAAGAACGGUACUGUGAGGAAAUGCGCAGUACUUGACGGUAGCGAGUGAGGAAGCCCCGGCUAACUACGUGCCAGCAGCCGCGGUAAUACGUAGGGGGCGAGCGUUGUCCGGAUUUAUUGGGCGUAAAGGGCGUGUAGGCGGCCUGUUAAGUCGGGAGUGAAACUCCGCAGCUCAACUGCGGACCUGCUUCCGAUACUGGCGGGCUUGAGUACUCUAGAGGGCAGUGGAAUUCCCGGUGUAGCAGUGAAAUGCGUAGAGAUCGGGAGGAACACCAGUGGCGAAGGCGGCUGCCUGGGGAGAAACUGACGCUGAGGCGCGAAAGCUGGGGGAGCAAACGGGAUUAGAUACCCCGGUAGUCCCAGCCGUAAACGAUGAGUGCUAGGUGUAGGGGGUAUCGACCCCUCCUGUGCCGCAGUUAACGCAAUAAGCACUCCGCCUGGGGAGUACGGCCGCAAGGUUGAAACUCAAAUGAAUUGACGG